rnacentral:rRNA from 1 species
GAUGAACGCUGGCGGCGUGCCUAAUACAUGCAAGUCGAGCGAACGGACGAGAAGCUUGCUUCUCUGAUGUUAGCGGCGGACGGGUGAGUAACACGUGGAUAACCUACCUAUAAGACUGGGAUAACUUCGGGAAACCGGAGCUAAUACCGGAUAAUAUUUUGAACCGCAUGGUUCAAAAGUAAAAGACGGUCUUGCUGUCACUUAUAGAUGGAUCCGCGCUGCAUUAGCUAGUUGGUAAGGUAACGGCUUACCAAGGCAACGAUGCAUAGCCGACCUGAGAGGGUGAUCGGCCACACUGGAACUGAGACACGGUCCAGACUCCUACGGGAGGCAGCAGUAGGGAAUCUUCCGCAAUGGGCGAAAGCCUGACGGAGCAACGCCGCGUGAGUGAUGAAGGUCUUCGGAUCGUAAAACUCUGUUAUUAGGGAAGAAUAUAUGUGUAAGUAACUGUGCACAUCUUGACGGUACCUAAUCAGAAAGCCACGGCUAACUACGUGCCAGCAGCCGCGGUAAUACGUAGGUGGCAAGCGUUAUCCGGAAUUAUUGGGCGUAAAGCGCGCGUAGGCGGUUUUUUAAGUCUGAUGUGAAAGCCCACGGCUCAACCGUGGAGGGUCAUUGGAAACUGGAAAACUUGAGUGCAGAAGAGGAAAGUGGAAUUCCAUGUGUAGCGGUGAAAUGCGCAGAGAUAUGGAGGAACACCAGUGGCGAAGGCGACUUUCUGGUCUGUAACUGACGCUGAUGUGCGAAAGCGUGGGGAUCAAACAGGAUUAGAUACCCUGGUAGUCCACGCCGUAAACGAUGAGUGCUAAGUGUUAGGGGGUUUCCGCCCCUUAGUGCUGCAGCUAACGCAUUAAGCACUCCGCCUGGGGAGUACGACCGCAAGGUUGAAACUCAAAGGAAUUGACGGGGACCCGCACAAGCGGUGGAGCAUGUGGUUUAAUUCGAAGCAACGCGAAGAACCUUACCAAAUCUUGACAUCCUUUGACAACUCUAGAGAUAGAGCCUUCCCCUUCGGGGGACAAAGUGACAGGUGGUGCAUGGUUGUCGUCAGCUCGUGUCGUGAGAUGUUGGGUUAAGUCCCGCAACGAGCGCAACCCUUAAGCUUAGUUGCCAUCAUUAAGUUGGGCACUCUAAGUUGACUGCCGGUGACAAACCGGAGGAAGGUGGGGAUGAUGUCAAAUCAUCAUGCCCCUUAUGAUUUGGGCUACACACGUGCUACAAUGGACAAUACAAAGGGCAGCGAAACCGCGAGGUCAAGCAAAUCCCAUAAAGUUGUUCUCAGUUCGGAUUGUAGUCUGCAACUCGACUACAUGAAGCUGGAAUCGCUAGUAAUCGUAGAUCAGCAUGCUACGGUGAAUACGUUCCCGGGUCU